rfam:Salmo salar isolate Sally breed double haploid chromosome ssa02, whole genome shotgun sequence.
UGGCUCAGUUGGUAGAGCAUGGUGUGUGCAACACCAGGGUUGUGGGUUCAAUUCCCAC